GUAGCUUAAAUGGUGAUAAUGCCUAGCUAGAGUGAGAGUGAGGCAGGAAGCACAGCACAGCACAGCACAGCACGAAAAGCUCUUCAGGCAGGGAGGCCUGGGAAAGACCCUGACUAAAGCAGGGAAGGGACAGGGGGAGCUGAAAAAGCUGGGUAGAAAGUGGCCCAGGGGAAACCUUAGCACAAGUAAAGGAGCUGACCUAGUUGUUCAGUACAGUGUCCUGGGCUGGAACCUGGACUAGAGGUUGGGACUGAAUUCCCUACUAGCCCCAAGGAAGGGGGUCUACAAGCCCAUUAAAGGGUUAAUGAGCCUAGCAGGGGGGCUGCAGGCUAAGUCCUGAAGACAGGUUGAGGAAUAGCCCUAGAGAGGGCAGGAGGAUUUUGUUUGUGUUAAAGACAUUUUGGGACUCUUAGUUUGGACAGUUGUGGACCGCAGAAGGGGUGGACUUAAAAUGGUGACCUGGCCCGAGGGCUGAGUCAGUGGAAGAGAAGCCACCUCAGUGCUUGUUGGCAGGGCAGUGCUAGAAAAGUGAGAGAUACUACACCAUGCGCUUAGGGGGUGCCUAGCUGUGACUAGCCUACAGUGAGCAACAUAUGUACUGGAAAUGAAAGCGUUCAGCGUUCAGAAUCUGUGGAAUCCCUGCAUGUGUGCACAUAACAAACAGGAUGGUGAUGGGUUUUUUGCAGGCUUUCCCAUGUGUAUGGGAAUUUCUGUCAGUAAACAAAUUAAUUAUUGAACGUUCUUUGAAUGAUCACAUGCAUGGCCCGGAGAUGGUUCACUUUAGGAACUACUAAGCCAUCUAUUCAAAGACAGAUAAGGAGGAAUAGUAGAGUAAAUUUUAUAAUGAUGAUCUCUUACACAGGAUCUGCUAAUGCAACCCAAACUGGAGAGACCUACGUGAAGGAUACAUUUACUGUGGUGGCAUCCAGCAGAGAAUCAGCUCUCUCUAUUGAUGGCAUCUCCUCAUUUGUGUUUUGACUGGUUACAAAGAAAGAUGACAUAUGUUGGACCUCUUUAUAACAUUGAUAGAAGAGACCUGCACCUGCCUACAGAAGGAAGGAUUUCACACUGCAGGGCUAUGAAUCCGACAACGUUCACGAGCAUCCUGGGAUUUUUCCAAGGAGUCUAGGAGAACUAGGUGCCAACUCCCAUUGUACUUCAAUGGGAUUUGAGUGCCUAACUUCUUUGAAAAUACUGUCUUAAAUAUACACACACAGUCUCCAGCUGUUGACAGAACUCAAAGACCAACUAGGGUGUGAGCAAAUGAACUAAAGAAAACAAGACAUCAAAUACAUUUUCUUCCAUUAAGUCAGUGCAUUAGUUACCAGUUCUGCUCCACUGCCUGCAAAAAAAAAUUGCAACAGUUAAUGUGGGUCAUAGGAUGAGAGGAGAGGUGAACCUAUUGGCACAUGGUGGGGAAGGGAACUGGAUUGCAAAGUAGGAAUGUUUUGGACAAGAAAUGUUGCUGUACGAGCCAGGGAAAAGGCUCAAGAUCAAUCAGUCAGAAAACGAAAAGCGUUUAAAGGCAGAAGAAAUGCUAAAGUUAGCAUGUGUGGUUUACUAUAAAUUGGGGUAAUCUGAAACAGAUAUUCUCUGAAGAAUACUUCCAAUGUUUUCCUGGCUCUGCUCCAGUGACUUCAAAGCCCUGUUAUCAGUGAAUUGUGGUCCCAGUCUGGGAAAUGUCAGCUUCAGAUCACAGUUUCCUCUCAUUUCUGUGAAAAGAGGUCAAAUUAGCAAAGUGCUGCCCACACACUGUCUCUGUCACAGCCCUAACUGGCCUAUUUUGUUAAUGCUUCAGCUAAUCUUCAGGUUAAAGAACAAAUUUGCUUUGAAAGGGUAGGUUAUUUGAUUUAGGAAGCAGAGUUUAAAAUAAUAGCCCAACUACACGUGUUGCCAAAAAUCCAUUUGCUCUAAUGUUCGUUUUGGGGUGUGCAGAACAAUUCAGGGGAAUCAUUUACUGCCCUUCUUCCACCUUAGUUUCCUUCCCACCCUUUGCAAUUUCCUAUUAGACGGAACAAAUCAGGCCCUUUAUAGAAGGUUCUGAUCUUGAAAUACAGUUGGAAUGGCAAGGAGUACAAUUGCUGCUGUGUCAUCAUCUAAAGGCCCUGGCACAUGAAAUUUCUCUGAGAGCGAGCCUCUAUCCAUGGUUCAACUCUCUACUUGGCUUCCCUGUAGCUUGAAGGACAGAGCUAGUCUUGCUUGUGGUUCUCUCCCUCCUCUUAUUUUAUUUAGUGUCUACUGCACAAAUCUGAAAGUGCCACUUAC